rnacentral:rRNA from 1 species
ACGGAAGGCAGCAGUGGGGAAUAUUGGGCAAUGGACGCAGUCUGACCCAGCAACGCCGCGUGAAGGAAGAAGGCUUUCGGGUUGUAAACUUCUUUUAAGGGGGAAGAGUAGAAGACGGUACCCCUAGAAUAAGCCACGGCUAACUACGUGCCAGCAGCCGCGGUAAUACGUAGGUGGCAAGCGUUGUCCGGAUUUCCUGGGUUUAAAGGGCGUGUAGCCGGGUCUGCAAGUCAGAUGUGAAAUCCAUGGGCUUAACCCAUGAACUGCAUUUGAAACUGUAGAUCUUGAGUGCUGGAGGGGCAAUCGGAAUUCCUAGUGUAGCGGUGAAAUGCGUAGAUAUUAGGAGGAACACCAGUGGCGAAGGCGGAUUGCUGGACAGUAACUGACGGUGAGGCGCGAAAGCGUGGGGAGCAAACAGGAUUAGAUACCCUGGCA